rnacentral:rRNA from 1 species
UGAGGAAUUUUGGUCAAUGGGCGAGAGCCUGAACCAGCCACGUCGCGUGCAGGAUGACGGCCCUAUGGGUUGAAAACUUCUUUUAUAUGGGAAUAAAGUUAGGCACGUGUCCCUUAUUGCAUGUACCAUACGAAUAAUGACCGCCUAAUUCCGUGCCAGCCGCCGCGGUAAUACGGAAGGUCCAGGCGUUAUCCGGAUUUACUGGGUUUAAAGGGAGCGUAGGCUGUUUGUUAAUCGUGUUGUGAAAUGUAAGAGCUCAACAUUUGGAUUGCAGCGCGAACUGGGAGACUUGAGUGCGCAGAAGGGAGGCGGAAUUCAUGGUGUAGCGGUGAAAUGCUUAGAUAUAAUGACGAACUCCGAUUGCGAAGGCAGCUUACGGGAGCGCGACUGACGCUAAAGCUCGAAGGUGCGGGUAUCGAACAGG